rnacentral:rRNA from 1 species
UACGUAGGGUGCGAGCGUUGUCCGGAAUUACUGGGCGUAAAGAGCUCGUAGGUGGUUUGUCGCGUUGUCCGUGAAAACUCACAACUCAAUUGUGGGCGUGCGGGCGAUACGGGCAGACUAGAGUGUGGUAGGGGAGAUUGGAAUUCCUGGUGUAGCGGUGGAAUGCGCAGAUAUCAGGAGGAACACCGAUGGCGAAGGCAGGAUCUCUGGGCAUUAACUGACGCUGAGGAGCGAAAGCGUGGGGAGCGAACAGG